rnacentral:lncRNA from 1 species
UUUUUUUGUUGUUUUUUUUGUUUUGUUUUUUUUGUUUUGUUUUGUUUUGUUUUUUAAGAUUUAUUUUUUUAUUUGAGAGAGAGAGAGAGCAAGCAUGAGCAAGAGGGCCAGAGAGAGAGGGAAUCUUGAGCAGACUCCACACAGAGCCCAAGAUGGGGCUCAAUCCUACAACCCUGGGAUCAUGACCAGAGCUGAAAUCAAGAGUCGGGUAUUCAACAAACUGCGCCACCUAGGCACCCUGAGACAGUGGAUAUUCUUAUUAGAUUUGGUCUCUUAUUUGUUUGUUCUUCAGGAACAAACAUCUGCCUUGGGGCCAGGGGUGGAGUCUAAGUCACAGUAACCCUUGACCAUAUUCAUUCACAUACAAACCUGACAAUGAGCGCAUUGCAAGAACUGACCCCCGGUAGAAGAAUCCUGACCCAGAGUGUGGUCAACACACCCAAGAAGCAUCCAAGAGAACUAGGACUCUGGGGAACAACUUGCCAACGUUGCAUAAACCCAACUUGGAGGCCUGCUACCCCAGGACCCCAGUCAGUGUAAAUCACAGCAGCUCUCCCUCACUGAGCACCCAACAUCAGUGAGGCCUGUGCCAAGGAACAGCUUCGCAACACGGCCUCGCAUUUAAAGCUCACCACCACCCACAAGCCAGAUGCUGUUCCGCGCACAUUAUGAAGCUGGAGGUUCGGAGGGGUAAAGCAACAGAUCUGAACUCACACCUGGCUAACUGCACAGGCUGGGCUCUUAGGCACUACACUGAAUUAAUUUAUUGAUCAGCUGACAGCACACAAAGUUUCAUUGUAGCUCUCUUCAACCUGUUGGUCUCCUGCCAGUGAAAAGGUUUCAAAUCUCAGAGACAUUCCUUUUUCUUGCAGUUACUUUCCCUUUCUUACAGCAUCUCUUCAGAUGUUAUAAGUUCAGGUCAUGAUCUCAGGGUCAAGGGAUCAAAUCCUGCAUUGGGCUCUGUGCUCCACAGGGAGUCUGCUUGAGACUCUCUCUCUCCCUCUGCCCCUUCCCCUGUUUGUACAUUCUCUCUCUCUCUCUAAUAAAUACAUAAAUCUUUAAAAAAAAAAAAAAAAGAGUACCUGUAGCAGGAUUAUUCAUGCCAGCCUCAAACUGGAAAGAGCUUGAAUGCCCUAAUACGGGGCUAGGUGAGCACACUGAUACAUAAAAUGAUUAAAUACUAAAUGCGCUAUUCAAAAUGAGAAUGUGGUUAACACAGCUAUAAGCUAUAUGGAAUAUAAAAUUACAAUAACACUAAAUAUUGCAACUGCAAUAGUAUGUACCUACCACUGAAAACCAUUAAACAAUCCCACUCAGAUACAAUUUUAGAACCUAAUCAGAAAGUGAUACGACAGGGGAUGCCUGGGUGGCUCAGUCCCACAUCGGGCCCCCUGCAUGGAGCCUGCUUCUCCCUCUGCCUGUGUCUCUGCCAAUCUCUCUCUGGGUCUCUCAUGAAUAAAUAAAUAAAAUAUUUUUUAAAAAAGGAAAGUGAUAUGAGAAUUCAACUACAGUUUGUUAUGGUGGUUUAAAGCUGCGGAAGAAACACAAACUAUAAAAGUCAAAACACAGACCAAUAAUAGGUUUCUAUGUAAUCAAACAAACUUAUAUUCAUGGCAACAUCACAUUCUGAUCAUGGAAAAUAAUUUUUUAAGAUUUGUAUUUUUAAGUAAUCUGUACACCUAACAUGAAGUCAAACCCACAACCCUGAGAUCAGAAGUUGCAUGCUCUACUGAAUGAGCCAGCCAGGCACCCCUAAUUUCUUAAUUUGUGUUAUUAAAAUACCUGUCUGCUCUAUAGCUUCUUGAAAGCUGGCUUUAAAAUAAAGUCAAAAGUAUCCCUGGGGAAAAAGGAGGUAUGAGAUUCUAUAUCAGUGCUGCUCAGGAAAUAGUUCCUUUAAUCCUUUUUGUUUAUUCUAGUCUUUGCAUUUAUGAACUCUCUAAACCCUUCUACUUAAAUCAUAGCACUAAAUCUAGGAUUAAAGAUACAGUGAAUUUUCUGAUAGAAUGUACUUGACUUCAUGUCUGGCCCAUGUGUUUACAACAGUUUUGUACUGGAGUAAUUUGCUGAAUGAACCUGUACAAAAUAAUGUGUCUGAAAAUUCAUCUUUUAAAAUGUAUUUUAUCAGAAUAUGUGACAGGAGGUUUCUAUUUACUUCUGGUAAGAAAAAGUUAUCCAGUCCCAUUGUAGACUUUGUAUGUGUUAAUGGGCUCUGAAGCCAGGUGAGAGAAGUCAUGAUCUCAGGGUCGAGGGAUCCCGCAUUGGGCUCUGCGCUCCACAGGGAGUCUGCUUGAGGCUCUCUCUCUCUCCCCGGUGCGCCUUCCCCAGAAUGGCAACACAAGGACAUUAGCCAGUCUAGUCAUGUGUUUCAUGGACCACUUUUCCAUGCCGUAGGCUGUCAGUCCUUCCUUCUACCAUCCUUCAAAAUACUCACCAGGAUUUUUAGGAUCUUCUACAUUAUCAUUACCACCACUAUCUACCUAUGCUAGAUAAAACUCAGAUUGGUCACCUUAUGACACACAUGAUUUCUACAAUAAGCAAAAAUACAGAAGGCACAUCAAGGCAGUGCCUUUAUGCUUCCAUUUUAAGGUAUCAAUUUUAACUAAAUCAUCCUUACUGACCCACUUUCUCCUUUGAUAUGUCACAAAUUUACCUGAGGCAUCAAUACACAAAAACCCAUAUAUUAGUUGUCUGGGUAUUAAUCAGUUCCGUAUCUCAGAAUUCCCCAGGAUUUAAUAUAAUGCAAAAAUUAAUCAUUUCUGCAUAGUACUGUCAGUAGACAAUAUUACUUACCUUACAUUUACCAUCUGGUUUGAGGUCCUUCCAGUUUUCACAUUUGCUAUUUAACCCUCACCACCCCAGCAUACAAUGAAAUCUCUUUAGUCAGUCACUUUUGAGAACACAUUUUACAAAAUCAACAUCUCCGAUAUGAGAUCUGAUGAAACAAUAACAAAAUGAAGCAGGUGUCACCAACAAAAAUUCUGUCCUAAAAUGCAUAACUUAAUUUAACUCAACCAGUAUUUACUGAAUGCCUACCAUGCCCUACCCCCAGGCAGUGUACUCCUGAGUCAGGCUUCUUAGAGGGAACAAACCUCCACAAAAUAAAAAAAAAAAAAAUUAAAAAAACCCAUGGUCCAUAACAUCCAAAAGUCUGGUGACCAGUGAUUUAAAUGAUUUUAUGGCACCUUUACUCUCCCUGUGCCUAAGCAACCAUCUGGUUUCAGAUGAGCAUCUCUAGAAGCGGCCACCAGGGACUGGGCCAUGAAUUACUGCUCAGAGCUAUUUAACGCACAAGACAGAAAUGUAUUAAGUGGCAAUGAAGUAGUAAUUACUAAAUGGUACCCCAGGGGCUCAAAGAAUCAGUAAUUAACUACCACUUACUACACUAUGAUUGUGAGUUAUUAAAUGGCACUAAAGGAACAGUUCAUUAAAUGGUACCUUAGUGUCCUGAAAGAGUAUUUCCAUAUAACUCAGCACCAGCAUGCUUACACACUGGGAAAGUCCCACUGUUUGUUGGAAAACAAUGUGCCCUGUCACACAGUACCAUCUCCAGCCCGGAACCCCAACUCGGUUGGAUGGCUGAGCAAGCACUUCAUUCAGUGACCCCUCCCAGAAGUCCCUGGCAUUGAUUUGGCCUGCAGCUUAAGAGCAGGGUGUGACAAAACCACUGCCCCACUGAAUCUAUCACAGUCCUGUCUCUUGUAUCAAUUCACACCCAAAGCCGUGGGGAAUCUUCUUAUAUAGGUUUAUAUUUUGCCAUUCUGAUACCAACAAAGAACAUUUAAAAGUAAAUCAUGAUCCGAUUAUAAAUAACAUCUGCCAUAUUUACUGACAACCUCCUCUAAAAUGUCUUUUUUGGGCAUUCUCCUUAAUUUCCUCCUCUGGUUCCCACCUCUCAGUCCCAUUUUAUUCUAAGUCAGCUCAUCCCUAGCCAUUCCUUCCCUCCAGUUAAUGAUCCCAGCCUUUUAAAUCAAAAUUCAACAUGAAGAGUUUAUCUCUCUAGAAGACUUUACCUGAUAAGGAGACAAGACAUAUUGAAAAACUCUUCCAAAGUACGUUAAAGUCAUCCCUUCAAAGUCCAAAUGAGUUUACAAAGAAAACUAAGUUGGAUUGCCUGGGUGGCUCAGUUGGUUAAGUAUCCAACUCUUGCUUUCAGCUCAGGUUAUAAUCUCAGGGUCGUGAGAUCAAGCCCCACAUCGGGCUCUGCCCUGAGUGUGGAGCCUGGUUCAGAUUCUCUCUCUCUCUCUUCCUCUGCCUCUCCCCUGCAUGCGUGUACACACAUGCACUCUCUCUCUUUAAAAAAUAAAAACAAGGGAUGCCUGGGUGGCUCAGAGGUUGAGCAUCUGCCUUCGGCCCAGGGCAGGAUCCUGGAGUCCCAGGAUCGAGUUCCACAGCGGGCUCCCUGCAUGAAGCCUGCUUCUCCCUCUGCCUGUGUCCCUGCCUUUCUCUGUGUGUCUUUCAUGAAUAAAUCAAUUUUAAAAAUAUAUAAAUAAAAAUAAAUAAAAACAAACAAACAAACAAAAAAAACUAAGUUGGUGCUUUUUUCCCCUAUGCUAAAGUUGCCUAGAUCUUGUUAUUACAAUAGUCUCAACAGACAAAUCUACCUUUCAUAGAUCUACAUAAUACCCAAAGGGAGCACAUAAUGAAUCUUAACAUUGAAUCACUCUGGCCCGUAAAAGAAUAUAUACUACAAAGUUUUUUAAGAUGACAGAUGAUAGCCUUAUCAUUAGGUGAACUCAAGAAAGUGUGAAAGAAAGAUAUACAAUUAACCAAUGAACUGGUCAAAGUUUCAGGUGACACAGAGGAUGGGCAGAUGAGAUCAAGGAGAUAAAGUUCAAAGAGGAAGAACAACAGGUCAUUAAUCACAUGGAUCUGGGGAAACUUUCACAGACUGAAACAAAUGGAGAAAGCAUUUUAGAAGAAACCAGAGAUGGUCAUGAAAGCGGUGCUUCCAUAACAGAAAUGGUAAAAUACUCCUAGAGAUUAUAUCUUCAAAUAAGAACUCAAGAAUUAUUUUUCAAGCCCUAUCAAAUGACAAAGUAGUAUUUGCUACUUUUAUUGUCAAAAGCUCUCUUUAGCAAAGUUUUAGGAGUAAAAGGAAGGUACAGAGCAUGGCAGACUGUCUACAAUAAAGACUGAAAAGGGGCACUGGUUUUAACUGCAUCAACCUCCAGUGUGAUAAUUAAUUGCAAUGAAAGUCAAAAGAAGACAUAACUGUGUAAGAGCCUGGGACAGGCUGCCCCAAAUGUACCACAAUGGCACACUCAAUCUUUUGAAUUGAAGCUACUUAGGAAACAGCUGGUGUAAGGGCACUCAGACCCUCCCCUGUCCCCCUGAAAAUAAUUUCCCAUAUGAAAGGUGCCCUCCCUGUACUAAGAAGUAAAAAGACAUUCUUAUCAACAGAGAUGGGAACUUUAAAGCUGAGAAAGCUAUAGAAACAAACUGUUAUUUUUUUAUUCAUCUAUUACCUCAGCCCAAAUUCCACUUAGAGUACUUUAUACUAAUUAAAGCUCCCAAACAUCUGUUUUCUUUAUCCUGCCAAUUCCCCGCCAAUUUGCCGUCUCUUUGUCUAAAAUGUUUAAGAACUGCACUGCCUUUGGUCAUUUGCUUGGGUCCCAAUUUCACUAUUAGACCUCUGUGCAAACAUAAUAAAACUUGAGGGUUUUUUCUCCUGUUAAUCUGUCUCCUGUAAAAUUUAAUUCUCAGUCCAGCUAGAAGAACCGUAGGCCGGGGAAAAUUUCUUCCUCCCAUUUAACUGCAUACUAGAAUGAUGUAAGGGAAAAUAUAUACUGGAUAUACAUUUUUGGUUCUUAACCAGUGAAGCUACAUCCAUCGUUAAACCUCCUCUUAAUUAGUUAUCCAAAGUCUAUUUGCCAAGAAAAAAAUAGUAGCUAAAGAGUUUGGGAAAAAUACAUUAAAAGAACAGCAUUAAAGAAAGUCAGCAGCAGGUUUCCCUUCAAUAUGGGACAAUAAAAAUGGUUCACAUUUCCGUAGGUAGUCUGUGGGCCUGCAUAAAAAUUCAAAAGUUAUUAUAUUGUGACUCAAAAGUUCUAACCCAUUUAUCCUGUGAGAAACUAGUACAAGGAUGUUUAAUGAAGCAUUAUUCAUAACAGGGAAAAUGUUUCAUCUUUAAGAGACUGGUUAAAUAAACCACAGCACAUUCAUACAAUGGAAUACAUUUCAGUUAUUAAAAAGGAGGGGCCUAAAUUUAUUGACAUGGAUAGAUUACCAGAAUCUAUUGUGAAGAAAAAAAUAAAAGAAGGCCUCAUAAUAUGGUAUCAUAUGGCUAAGGUUCUAAGUGGGCACAUGUGCAUGAUGAUCAUAAAAAAUAAGGGCAAUAAUUAUCUUCAGAAGGUAGGUACUCGUCAUGGUUUGCCCUGUACUUGUACUUUUAUAUGUUGUUUAAACUUUCCACAAUAAACUUUUCUCUAAACAACAGGAAAAAAAAGAAGAAAGAAAGAAAAUUAAGCUUUAUAUGGAAAGUAGAAUCACUGGUACACUUUUUUUUAAUUUAAAUUCAAUUAGCCAACAUAUAGAACAUCAUUAGUUUCAGAUGUAGAGUUCAGUAAUUCAUCAGCUGCUUAUAACAAACACUCAGCGCUCACUACAUCAGGUGCCCUCCUUAAUGCCCAU